GCAAACUUGGUCAUUUAGAGGAAGUAAAAGUCGUAACAAGGUUUCCGUAGGUGAACCUGCGGAAGGAUCAUUACUGAGUUAAAGAAAAAGGGGGAGGUUUCGUUUGGAACUUUUCCUUUUUUUCCCUUCUCUUCACCCUUUGUUAUUAAUUUCUAAGUUGCUUUGGUAGUUGAGAUUUCGUCUCUCUACCAAGGGACCUUUUUAAACCCUUUGUUAUCCAACAAUUAGGAUGUCUUUUGUCUGAUUCUUUGAAUAAGUACAUAAAACUUUCAACAACGGAUCUCUUGGUUCUGGCAUCGAUGAAGAACGCAGC
rnacentral:misc_RNA from 1 species